rnacentral:tRNA from 1 species
UGGCUCAGAGGUUAAAGCGUCUGCCUGGAAUGCGGGAGACCCAGGUUUGAUCCCUGG